ACAAUUUACUACCCAUGUGCAAUGCCUGUUCCACAGUCAUUAUGAACUUUGUGCAUUUCCCUGUACCUAAUCCUCUUCAUACGAAACCUCCUUUUCUGUGAAUUAUUUUUCCCUCACUUUGUCACCUUCUGAAUUCCUAUUUAACUUUCAAGUACUUGGCUCACAUUGUCUCCUCUUCCAGAGUUGCCUGAUCAAUCUACUCAGUUGGAAUUAUAUCUUCCUCCUCUUCUUUAAUUAUGGGCAAUCUUCUGGGAGGCCAUAUUGUUUGUGUUAAUUUACUUAUCUGUCUCCCCAAGACAUAAGUUUAUGUCCCAAAGUUGUGUGAUGUCGGACAAGUUACUUAACCUCUUUGCCCCCCAACUCCUCAUCUGUGAAAUACAGAUAUGGUAUCCUAUAUACAGUCUACCUUUUAGGGAUGUUGAAGGAUUCAAUGAGAUAGUGCAUGCAAAGUAUCUUACAAACACAGUAUCCUACAUCGGUGAGUGCUCUAUAAACCAGAGCCGAUAUAAUGUGGUGCUUCACCUGUGAAUUCCUCUAUUAAUUCCACAGUUAUCCUCCUACCCAAUCCCCUCACCCCUGUCUUCCCUCAUUUCUGGAAAUGUCAGCAAAUUUUCUGCCUACUUCAAAUUGACAACCUAUUGGACAAAUCUGUUCCUGAAAUUUUGGGGAAUAAUCACCAUUCUGUAAAAGAUAUUCUUCCUCUUAGCCACUUCUCUUUGAUUUUGCUGAAAUGCAUACAUUGUUUUUUAGAAGCCACAAAUAAUUAAAUGAACCGUCACUUUCUUUCUGCCUCUGAAAUUUGAAAACAUCAUACUGAAAUUGUACUUUAAUAAAUAAUAAAAUAAUGCUUUGACAAAAGCAACACAAUACAUGGUAUUGACACUUUGUAGACAGAAAAUUUUGUUGUAUUGUUUCCCCUGCCCUUUCUAUAAUUAAAACAUCUUUCUCCAUCCUGGUAUACAGAAUCCAAGAAACAAUUGGAAAAGUCUUUCAUCUCUAGUUCUAGUGCAUGGUGGUACUUAGAAACACAUAUUGUCUGAUUGGAUUCCUUCUGCAUGUACCAUAAGAGCUCCCUAUGAUAGAAACUUUGAUUAUAAAGUUGCAUGAUAUCCUAUGCUUCCUGACUAGGGAACAUAAAAACUGUGUAUUUAUUUAAAAGAAAAAAAAUCUGAAUUUUUCCUUACUGGGAGAAUGCUAUCCAUGUGUCUCAUUUCCCUCCAGCUGUCUUUCUUUCCUCUGGCUUUCCUUCCAGAGGAAGGAAAGGAGUGUGAAGGGGUGGAGACUUCUCUUCCCCUCUUCCUCACUGUCUAUCCACAAGUAUCUUUUAGACCAGGCUACCAACCUUUUUCCUGCUGCACAUCAAGGGGCAUGUGCCACAGGCCCUAGGAAGUGGCUGCUUGUCUGUGUCAUGGACUUGGCUCCAGAUACCCUGGCCUCAGUCCUGAACAUUCAGUAUAACGUUUGCCUACUUCAGAGGCACAGUUGAAGGCCUCGGGUCACACAGUUUGUUUGCUGCAACAGUAUAUUUAUGCAGGACAGAGUCAUUCCUGUCUUCACUGAAAUGCAUACUCCAGAGUAAUGAUUCCUAAACUUGAUUAUGCAAGGAAUCAUCUGAAUGGAUGGCUAAAACAGACUGCUUGGGCCCCACUCCAGAGUUCCUGUUUCAGGAGGUCUGGGGAGGGCCUAAGAACCUGUAUUCUAACAAGUUUUGAGGGAUGCUGAUGUCUGAACUAGGGAGCACAGUUUGAGAACUCCCGCUCUAGAUUCUGUUGCCACACUGCUUUUUAUCAAGUACCUGACUGUUAAGUCACUGAUAUUCAGAUUUUGAAAGUGUAUUUGUCACAUUUAGAUGAAUUUGAAUUGCUCCUAGUAACAUAAAGAUAUUGAUGCUAUGUAUGCUUCAUAGCAUCCAAAAGAUAAAAAGCGAAAAUAAUGCAAAUCUGAAACAAACAAACAAAAAAACCUUCCAGGUCUCACUCUUAUUCGUAAUAAUGAUUAAGACAGUCUGUAGGUAAGUGAGGGAUUUAAAAAAAAAAAACAAAAAAACUACUUUAUUAAGUUAUGAUUGACAUACUGAGGGAUGAUUUAAAGUCUGCAGUACUGGGCUAAUUUUCAGCAAUCUGACUUUGUGUACUAGAGCAAGUAGGGAAAUAGAUGAUAAUGACUUCUAUACUAUUCUUUUAAACAUUUUUAAACUGAUUUUGCCUAUCCUGGUUCAAAAAGUACAGUUAUUGAAAUUUUAGUUUUAAAACCCUAGUUGCUCAGAUAAACUAUUUUCAAUUAAAAGAAAAUAUAUAUAUAUAUUAAUUUCUUAUAUAUAUUCCAUAUUCAUUGGCAAUCUCCUUACGUGCUGAGUCAGGUUUAGUGAACUUUGAAACAGCAUUUUGCAGCACGUAGUGACUGGGGCCAGAAUUAUUAGUUAUUGUUGACGGCUAUGUUUCACUUCCUCCCUACUAGAUUUCCAGCUUACUAGAGAAUUUCCCAAGGAACAAUAUAAAAUUAUUCAUGAGCCUUGGGUAUUAUGCAUACAAUUGAUUAUGAAAAUGUACUAGUAACCUAAUUGUAGAAUUCCUCUGUUACACAGCACAAAUGUAUUUAAAUAGGCCUUGCAAGACUCCAAAAAUUAGAGCAUGCUGGAGUUUUCCUUGUACUUUUGAAUUGCUGCUAAUACUUUGUUUUCAUUUAAUCAAAUUGUAUCAUAUACAUAUGCAUAUCAAUGUUUGAAUAUAUCAUUACAUACAGUUGUCCAUACAUAUUUACAUAUUUAUAUACAAAAUAUGCCUAUAUCUCUCUGUAUGUUUAUACAUAUAAACAUAUCUGAGUUUGAUUAUUUUAUCAUAUUACAAGUUAUCUGGCCUGCAUUGUCAAUGAAUUGCUCAUUUUUUCUUCUAUAACAAUUAGACUUUAUCCUAUCAACUCUAUGACAAUGUUGAGAAAAUUCACAGAGCCCUUCACAUGCACAAUAAACAUGAUAACUUCUUUCCUAUAUAACUGAUCCCAAGGCUAUUAAAAGGUUUGGAUUUUGUUUAUUUAUUGGUUUGUUUCAACCUGUUCCAAAGGCCAGACCUUACCGCACAUCCACACCAGCCCCCUUUAUGUUGCUUUCUCUACUCCUGGAGUACCAACCUUUCCUGCAGCACCAGGUUAGGUAGUCACAUAAUACCUUGAUUUAUAACUCAGUUGUAAUCAAAAUAGGAAACAGGUGGAAUCACAACUGGGUAUGGUGCCUUGGAUAUUAAUGGCUUGGCUCAGCAGUGGAAUUUCUAAAGCCGUAUACACUUUUUUGUCUUAAUUAUGCAUUCAUUAAAAGCUUUUAUACCCAACAGAAUAAAGUAAAUAUUUUUUGAUCUCCAUAGUGUGCUCCCAGACUGUAGAUUUGCACAGCGGGGUCUUGAUAAUCUGAAUAAAUUGUAUUUCCCCAAGGAGUUUAUCUUUCAAAUAAGGUCAUAAAGAAAUGCAGCUCCCCCAUCCGUAGAUUUCUCCAUGUGCCUUUUCUGCUAUGAGUAAUAUAGAGCUUGAGAACCAGAGUAUAUUAUAGUAAUACAUACUUGCUUAUGGUCCAGUAUAAUGUCUCUAUCUGUUCUCCCUGCUUAUCUCCAGUGAAGUAUUUUUUGAGUACAAAAGAAAUGACAGCUAUGGUUUUUGCUGACACUCAUAGAAAAACAAUGUCCAUAUUAGACAUUCAGUGUUUUCUUCCCUUUACCCGCUCAGUGAGUAUGGACUAUGCAAAGCUAUAGUUUAAGUACUGUUAACAGCAUUUGUAAAAGGGAGUAAUGAUAGCUACUGUAUGUUGAGCAUCUACUAUGUAGAAGGUACUUUAUCUGCACUUUUGAGAAUCCUUAUCACAGAUCUGGAAUGCAGUGUCACUUUUCGCAAUUUUUAGAUGAGAAAAUUAGACUUGAAAAGAUUAACCACUUCCUGAGGCCAUCCAGAUGGGUCAGCUCCAAAUCAUGUGUUUUUCCUACAGCUCUAAACUAAAGACACCACCAGUGCCUUGUUCCCGCAGUUUACCACCCAGUGAAGGAGACAGGGAAACUAUGAAAUUAGGAACCUAAGUAAAUAUGCACAAUUAGGUGUACUUAUAAUAUUUCUAAAUCAUGAAGACUAAGAUGGCAAUGCACCUCAUGGUGCAUACGUAUGCUAAAAGUAGCACACAGUUCUGAAAAGUUCAGGAAAUAGCUUUUUCCCAUCUUUUUAGGUUGCCAUAUUUAUCUCCAGUGUAGCUAACAUUUCUAGGCACGUACCUUUAUUUAAAUAUUAAAUAAAUGUAUUAAUAUUUAAUAAAUUAUUUACAUUGUAAAAUAUUUAAAUAUUUUUAGAGGAGCAGGAAAAUCUAUGUUUUUGCCAUAAACUAAGAAAUAAAAGCAAUAAAAUUUGAAAUUUUAAAGAUGUGGCAUUUUUUCUUGCCUACCCACUGUAUAUCAAUCAAAACUUGCUAGGUAGCCACUUUCUGAAGACAGAGAGGAAGAUCUAAAGAACUAAAGAUACUAUCUGCACCUUUAUGCACAGCUGGAGAGAGAAGAGUCAAACAAAUGAUACAAAUAGCAAGUGCAAUUAAAAGUCAGAGGAGGGAAAGUCCUCCAAGCUGGAGUGGCCUGCCUUUCCCUGGAGAUGGAAUCUGAUCUGGGUUGUCCCGCAGAAGGGAAGGGCAUUUAUAUUACAGAACUUCCCCUUUCUCACAAGCUUUUUAAAGUCUACUGAAGCAAACGAUGUCUUUAAAUCUUUCACAAAUAAUAAUCAUUUGUGACAAAAGAGUCUCAAAGUUCUGCUUAUGGUAUAAAGGAAAAUUAAUGUGAAUUCAUUUGAUAAUGUCUGAUUUUUUUUUUUGGCAAACAGUUUGCACAUUUAUCUUUUUCUGAUCAUCACUAAAAACCAAGAGAAGUAAGCUUCUUUUUCAACAUUCUGGGGAAAGGGGGAAAAAUCUAACAUAUAGAAAACAAGGAGACCCAAGAUUCACUGUGGAAGUCAGGCCUCAUGUAUCUGGCACCACAAGAGGGCAUUCCAUUUUAUUUCCCAAUUGUAUGAAAAACCCAGUACCUAGAUAGCAUCGCAAGGGACUUUCUGAAGCUCAGAUUAAGUACUUAAGAACACUUUUCUCAGUUAAUUGUGGGAGAGCUGUUUAUUUUGCCCAACUGUUAAGUUGUAUCUAUAACCAAGCUAUUAUUUCCUCUUUUCAUGUAAAGUCAUAGAUGUGCCUCACAACUGUUUGCUUUUUUUUCAUUCUUGAUCCAACAAAUACUUCUCUGUUGCAAUCUAUGAGAAAGACAUUAUGAUUGACAUUGUGCAGAAUACAAAAAGCAUACGAUGCGAAAUCUACUUUUUACUAGUUUACUAGGUACAUUUUUAAUAGUUUGAAGAUAAGCUACAUGCAUGAAUAGCUUAGUGACAAGCUUAUGUGUAUGUGAUAGGAAACUUGAAGUGGGAGGCAUUAGAAUUCAUUCAGUGAUAAAGAGCCUUAUACUUACCGUAUCCUACUUGCUACUUGGUCCUUAUAAGCAGCUGAUACAAUUUUUAAAUUUCACUUUGACUUAACAUUGUUAAAAAU
rnacentral:lncRNA from 1 species